AUGAAUGUCGCACUCAUGCUGAGAUGGGUGUGGAGGAUCAUGUGAGGCGAUGGGGGCUUGUGGCUUCAGAUCAUCCAAGCAAAAUACCUAAGGGGAGAACCCCUGUUGGCAUGCUCCCGCUUUGGAGGAUGCCAGUUCUGGCGAUCCAUCCAAAGGAUCAAGGAGGACAUUCGUGCAAGAAUCUCCUUCUCUAUAGGUAAUGGGAAUGGGACCCAAUUCUGA
rnacentral:rRNA from 1 species